CCUCCGGGUGGCAGCAGUGGGGAAUAUUGCACAAUGGGGGAAACCCUGAUGCAGCGACGCCGCGUGAGUGAAGAAGUAAUUCGUUAUGUAAAGCUCUAUCAGCAGGGAAGAAAAUGACGGUACCUGAGUAAGAAGCCCCGGCUAACUACGUGCCAGCAGCCGCGGUAAUACGUAGGGGGCAAGCGUUAUCCGGAUUUACUGGGUGUAAAGGGGGCGUAGACGGGAUUGCAAGUCUGGAGUGAAGGUCGGGGGGUCAACCCCCGGACAGCUCGGGAAACUGAUGGUCUGGAGUGGAGGAGAGGUAAGGGGAAGUCGUAGUGUAGCGGGGAAAGGCAGAGAUAUGAGGAGGAACACCGGGUGCGAAGGCGGCUUACGGGAGCGGAACUGACGUUGAGGCACGAAAGCGUGGGUAGCGAACAGGAUUAGAUACCCUUGUAGUC
rnacentral:rRNA from 1 species